rnacentral:rRNA from 1 species
CGACUAAGACAUGCAAGUCUAAGGACUGUAAUUGGGCAGUCCUGGCGAACGGCUCAGUAACACGUAGAUAAUCUACCCUUUGGAGAAGGAUAACCUCGGGAAACUGAGGACAAUACUUCAUAGUUAAUAGAUACUGGAAUGUUCUAUUGUCCAAAUGGGCCAUGACCUUACAUGGUUCCGCCAAAGGAUGAGUCUGCGGCGGAUUAGGUUGUUGGUGGGGUAAUUGCCCACCAUGCCGACGAUCCGUACGGGCUGUGAAAGCAGUAGCCCGGAGAAGGGGACUGAGAUAAGGCCCCUAGCCUUACGAGGUGCAGCAGUCGCGAAACCUUUACAAUGCGCGCAAGCGUGAUAGGGGGAUUCCAAGUGCAUAUGUAAAGCAUAUGCUUUUGUCAGGCGUACAAAACCUGGCGAAUAAGUGGGGGGUAAGCUACGUGCCAGCCGCCGCGGUAAUACGUACCCCACAAGUGGUGUCCACUUAUAUUGGGCUUAAAGCGUCCGUAGCUGGUUUGAUAGGUCUUUGGUGAAAUCGGCAGGCUCAACCUGUCGGCGUGCCGGAGAUACCGUCAGACUCGGAACUGGGAGAAGUCAGAGGUAUUCCCGGGGGAGGGGUCAAAUCCAGUAAUCCCGGGAGGACCACCUAUAGCGAAGGCUUCUGACUAGAACAGGUUCGACAGUGAGGGACGCAAGCUGGGGGAGCAAAUAGGAUUAGAUACCCUAGUAGUCCCAGCCGUAAACGAUGUGGAUUAGGUGGUACGUGACCUCCGAGGUCAUGUAGCGCCAUGAAGCGAAAGCGUUAAAUCCACCGCCUGGGGAGUACAGCCGCAAGGCCGAAACUUAACGGAAUAGGCGGGGGAGCACCACAAGGGGUGUGGGCUGCGGGUUAAUAGGAUUGAACACCGUAAAUAGCACCCAGGGCGACAGCCCUAUGAAGGGCAGUCUGAAGGGCUUGCUGUAGGCGCUGAGAGGUGUUGCAUGGUCAUCGUCAGCUCGUACUGUGAAGCGUCCUGUUAACUCAGGUAACGGGCGAGACCCGCGUCAUCAGUUGCUAUUCAUUCCUGCGGGAGUGGAGCACUCUGAUGAGACUGCCACAGCUAAAUGUGGAGGAAGGUGCGGGCGACGGUCGGUCUGUAUGGCCCGAAUCUCCGGGGCUACACGCGGUCCACAAUGGUAUGGACAAUAGGAUGCAACUCCGAAAGGAGGAGCUAAUCCCAUAAACCAUAUCGAAGUCCGGAUCGAGGGUUGCAACCCACCCUCGUGAAGCUGAAAUCCCUAGUAAUCGUGUUUCACUAAAGCACGGUGAAUAUGUCCCUGCUCCUUGCACUCACUGCCCAUCAAGUCAGGCGAGUGGAGUUUGGGUGAGGCUAAGUCGCUUGGUUUAGUCGAUCCUGAUUUCCGCGAGCAGGACUAAGUUGUAACAAGGUGUCUGUAGGGGAACCUGCAGACGGAUCACCUCCUU